CGGGCAAGAUGAACCCGUUGGGUGGUUACAAUGACACCAGGAACCCCUGGGAUCAAGACUUGCUCGAAGCCAGCCACACUUGAGACCUGUUAACCAAAAAAAAAAAAAAAAAUCCUUUUCUUAUUUAAGUCCAGUUUUCUUUUACUUGCAUCAUGAAGCAACCUAAAUGAUAACAGAAGUUUUAUUGCCAAAUAUACCAGUUACAGUCUUAAGAAAGUCGCAAAGGAAAAACUCAGAGCAAAGAUUUUCAGUCUUCAUAAGUUCAAAAUGUAUACUUUUAUCAUGUCUGAGAAAAGAAAGCAAUCAAUAUAUUCACAUCUUUUUCUGGGUAUAUGUGAUAUUUUUCCAUUGGAUAAUGAAUAGUAAACACUUUUACAAUAGCAAGUUGACAAAAUGAGAAUGUAUAAAAGAAAUUAAAAUAUAUCAACUAUUAAAUAAAUGCCAGGCAUUAUGCAACAAACCUUAUAUGCAUUAUUUCAAAUAAUUAUUAUAACUACUCUGAAUAGACACAUUAUUUCCAUUUUACAGAUGAGAAAAAUGAGGUUCAAAGAAGUGAUGUCAUGUUCUCUGAUUCUGUCUAUAUUGGAUACCUGGUGACGAUCUCCCCCUGUCUAAUACCCUAAACAUACGUUCACCUGCAUGCUGCUUCUGUUCUGGACCUUUGCGCUGGAUGUAGUCCCAACAGAGUGGCUUGCUGGGAGGAGGGAGAUACUUUUCAGAUAAGGCACUAGCACUUCAUCCUAACAACUUCUCCAUACUGAGGCAACAUUUUUAAAUACACAGAGAAUGCCUAGGAUUCAAUUGUUGAGAAAAAUUGAUGUAAGUCUGUUUGUCUCAAAGAAAGCUAUCAGGAACUACAGUUUUAUUAACCUAAAUGAACACCUGGUUUGAUGAUGACUAUGUAAAUGUAUUUUUAGCUAAUUAAUUUAUUAUUUCUGCCCAUCAGCCAACGAGUGGAUAAAGAAAAUGUGAUAUAUAUGCACUAUGGAAUACUAAGCCAUAAGAAGGAAUGAAAUAAUGGCAUUUGCAGCAACCUAGAUGGAGUUGGAGACCAUUAUUCUAAGUGAAGUAACUCAAGAAUGGAAAACCAAAUAUUGUAUGUUCUCACUCGUAAGUGGGAGCUAAGCUGCGAAGAUGCAAAGGCAUAAGAAUGAUAUAGUGGACUUUGAGGACUCAAGGGUUGAAGGAUGAGACUACACAUUGGGUACAGUGUGCACUGCUUGGGUGAUGAGUGCACCAAAAUCUCAGAACUCACCACUGAAGAACUUCCCCAUGUAACCAAAAACCACCUGUUCCACAGAAACUAUCGAAAUAACAUUUUUAAAACUUUACUAUUUCUGAAUAAAAUUUACAUACAUUUCUCAGAAAAAAAAAUAUUUGGAAUUGAGGUAUCUAAUAGAGAACUGAGUUAAAUUAUUGCCACUUAAAAACACAAAGUGAUAUAGCCACUUUAUGAAUUAAUCAGUCAGCAGUGGCUAGGUUAUGCUUAGUGGUUUAUAACCAAAUCUUAGUUUAUAACAACAAAUGUGUAUUGUUAAUUCCCACUACAAGUUUAUAACGACAUUGCUGGAUGCUACACUCCAUGUCUCUUUGUGGGACCCAGGCUCAUGGGACUUCUGUUACCUGCAUUAGAGAGAGAGAAGACAACAAAAUAUGCACUGGUUCUUGAAGCUUUGGCCCAGAAGUAAAAUAUGUCUUUUACCUGUUCACAUUGCAUUGGGCCAGGGCAAUUAUCAUGGCUGCAAGUAACUUCAAAAGGAUGGGGAAGUGCGAUCUUGGCAUGUGUCAGAAGAAAUGAAAACAUUUGGUGAAGAGCAUUAAUGACUGUCUUUACAGGAAAAAAGCAAUCAAAUAGACAUGAUUGCUUGUUUCAGUUUCAUCAUUUCCUACUGUGUUACCUAAACUUUCUGAGCCCCAGUUUCUUAUUACUAAAAUAAAAUAAAGAUGAUAUUCACUUCAAGGACUUUGUGUUAACUAGGGUAAAAAAAUUGAAAACUAGUAAGUUAUGCAAAUUAGAAAUGUAUAAUAUUACUGCUUUGAAAGUGAUGGUGAAAUGUAGAAUAAUUGGAAGGAUAACACAAAGCACUUAUACCAGGAGGCUUUUAGCUGCAGAUAAUAGAAAUGAACCUCCACUACUUUAAUCAAUAAAAAAGUGUAUCAGCUCACAAAUUUGUCAUCCAGACAUAAAGGAGGCUUCAGAAUUUAUUGACUCAGGAGUUGAAUGUUGGUAUCAAGGACCUAGAUUUUUCUCAUCACUCUGCACUUCAAUUCUCAAUGCCCUAUUGAACAUCAGGCUGUAGUAAGAUGGCUAGAGUGAUUCCAGGGAUAACAUCUAGAGAUAAAAAAGAGAACUCCUUUUCUUAUGAUUUUUUUCUUAAGAGAAAAGGAAUUUCCCAAAAGCCCCCAGCAAGCAUGCCUUCACAUCCCAUGGCCAGAAGUGGCUCACAUGUGUACCCUGAGCUAAGCACUGCAGACAGGAAUGGAAUCGCCUGUAGGCCUCAGAGACCACCUGGAUCUUGGGAAGGUGUCAGCUCUACCUGUGGCACUUGGCUGAGUGGGAAAGGGAUGGAAACAUGAAUAAAGUAAGAAUUAGGAAGGAAAAGGAGAAAUGGAUCCAGGGUAUGAAGCCAAUAGUUUAGUUAUCUCAACAAAUAUGAUUGAUUUCAUCUUUAUGAAUGUGAUGACCUAAUUUAAUACAUUCAAUCAAUGAAGUAAAAAAAAGUGCAAGGACAAUAUGACAUCUGUCAUUCUCUGUUGAGAUUUGAGAGGUAAUAAUACCAAGAACGUGUGGUGACCUGGGUCCUCACUGCUACUGUCUUCCUGUACCUGGACACUUCUAGCAAGAGACUUCAACUUCAGAACAAAGAGGAUCCCAACUUGUAGCUGCAUUAUACACACCCCAGCAGCACACAUAAGUUGAUUUCUAAUUAUUCCUCUUUAAGAAAUUGUUUGUGGAAUAU
rnacentral:lncRNA from 1 species